UACGGAGGGUGCAAACGUUGCUCGGAAUCAUUGGGCGUAAAGCGCACGUAGGCGGCUCGUUAAGUCGGAUGUGAAAGCCCUGGGCUCAACCCAGGAAGUGCAUACGAAACUGGCGAGCUUGAGUAUGGAAGAGGGUCGCGGAAUUCCCGGUGUAGAGGUGAAAUUCGUAGAUAUCGGGAGGAACACCAGUGGCGAAGGCGGCGCCUGG
rnacentral:rRNA from 1 species